rnacentral:rRNA from 1 species
GUGAAAAGCACUUCGAACAGAAGAGUGAAAUAGUCCCUGAACCCAUACGCCUACAAGCUGUCGGAGCCGCUUCGUGCGGUGACGGCGUGCCUUUUGCAUAAUGAGCCUACGAGUUACUCAUCACCAGCGAGGUUAAGUACUUCAGGUACGUAAGCCGAAGCGAAAGCGAGUCUGAAUAGGGCGUCAAGUUGGUGGUGGUAGACGCGAAACCUUAGUGAUCUACCCAUGGGCAGGGUGAAGGUUUGGUAACACAAACUGGAGGCCCGAACCGGUAAACGUUGAAAAGUUUUCGGAUGACCUGUGGGUAGGGGUGAAAGGCCAAUCAAACUGGGAAAUAGCUCGUACUCUCCGAAAUGCAUUUCGGUGCAGCCUGUGAUGUUCUGUUCCAGAGGUAGAGCUACUGGUUGGACGCGAGGGCUUCACCGCCUAUCAAAUCCGGCCAAACUCCGAAUGCUAGAACAUGAAGACAGGGAGUGAGCCAGCGGGUGCUAAGGUCCGUUGACGAAAGAGGGAGAACUCAGACCAUCAGCUAAGGUCCCCAAUUGUAUGCUAAGUUGGAAUUAAAACGGGGUGGGACUGCUUAGACAGCUAGGAUGUUGGCUUGGAAGCAGCCAUUCAUUUAAAGAGUGCGUAACAGCUCACUAGUCGAGCGGUCCUGCAUGGAUAAUACGCGGGCAUAAGCAUAUAACCGAAGCUAUGGGAUUGUAGAUGAUACAAUCGGUAGGAGAGCAUUCCAUUCAGCAUAGAAGCAGUACCGUGAGGUAUUGUGGAGCGGAUGGAAAAGCAAAUGUAGGCAUAAGUAACGAUAAUGCGGGUGAGAACCCCGCACGCCGAAAGAUCAAGGAUUCCCCGGCAAUGUCAAUCAUCCGGGGGUAAGUCGGAUCCUAAGGGUAAGCCGAGUGGCGAUCCCGAUGGCAAACAGGUUAAUAUUCCUGUACUGAUCAUAACUGCGAUGCAGCGACGCAGAGGUGACACUGCUGCGUACUGACGGAAUAGUACGUUGAAACCCGUAUUCUUUGAUACCGGUAGUGAAGCACGCCGGUAGAGAUGAAAGGUGAUAGUACCGCAAUGCUUCGGUUGCGCGGAUAACGCAGGUAAGCUGACUGCCAAGAAAACCUGCUAAGCUUCAGGUAAUGAUCAUCCGUACUGUAAACGGACACACGUGAUCAGGUAGAAAAUACUAAGGCGCUCGAGAGAUUCAUGGUUAAGGAACUAGGCAAAAUGGUCCUGUAACUUCGGGAUAAAGGACGCUCUUGUGAAAGAGCCGCAGAUAAUAGGCCCAGGCGACUGUUUACCAAAAACACAUGGCUAUGCUAAUUCGCAAGAAGAUGUAUAUGGCCUGACACCUGCCCGGUGCCGGAAGGUUAAGAGGAGAGCUCAGAGGUAAGUCGAAGGUUUGAAUUGAAGCCCCGGUAAACGGCGGCCGUAACUAUAACGGUCCUAAGGUAGCGAAAUUCCUUGUCGGGUAAGUUCCGACCUGCACGAAUGGUGUAACGAUCUGGGUACUGUCUCAACCAUGAGCUCGGUGAAAUUGUAGUUCCGGUGAAGAUGCCGGAUACCCGCAACGGGACGGAAAGACCCCGUGAACCUUUACUGCAGCUUUGCAUUGAUUUUGGGUAACAGAUGUGUAGGAUAGGUCGGAGGCUUUGAUGCUGCGUCGUCAGGCGUAGAGUAGCCGUCGUUGAAAUACGACCCUUUUGUUAUCUGAGGUCUAAUCCCGUUAGGGAGACAUUGCAUGGUGGGUAGUUUGACUGGGGUGGUCGCCUCCAAAAGUGUAACGGAGGCUUCUCAAGGUACCCUCAAGGCGUUUGGUAAUCGUCUGCAGAGUGCAAUGGCAUAAGGGUGCUUGACUGUGAGACCGACACGUCGAUCAGGUUGGAAACAAGAGCAUAGUGAUCCGGUGGUUCCGCAUGGAAGGGCCAUCG